rnacentral:rRNA from 1 species
GAAAAUCUCAAUAAGGGUGUAUGGUGAAUGCCUUGACAUAAGAAGACGAUGAAGGACGUAGCAGCCUGCGAUAAGCCUCGGUUAGGUGGCAAGCAACCUUUGAUCCGUGGAUUUCCGAAUGGGGAAACCUGCUCCGUUGAAGACGGAGCGUCCGCUAGUUGAAUAUAUAGAUUAGUGAGACGAUGACCCGGUGAACUGAAACAUCUUAGUAGCCGGAGGAAAAGAGAACAAAAUAUGGUGACUAAUUUUUUGGCAACUGAUUCGUCAGCUGUCAAUAAUUAGUUACUAGUUAUUCCCUUAGUAGUGGCGAGCGAAAAGGGAUAAGCCUAAACUUUAUAAACCGCGUAUUCUAAACACUUCGGUGGGAGGAAUACAGAAGGAUCUGGGUCCAUAUGUUUUUAGGGUGUUGCAAGACGUUGUGUCUAUCACUCAGGAUUGAUAGGGUAGAGUCAUAAAAUAUAGAUUUUAGUUGAAGUGAGCUGGAAAGCUCCGCCAGAGAAGGUGAUAGCCCUGUAAUGCGAAAAGAUCUAUAACUCUGCGACAAAUGUUCUUAAGUAGUGCGGAACUCGUGAAAUUCCGUAUGAAUCUGGGUCGACUAUGACCCAAGGCUAAAUACUUCUUAUGAUCGAUAGUGAACAAGUACCGUGAGGGAAAGGUGAAAAGCAGCCCGGUUAGGGCGGUGAAAUAGUACCUGAAACCAUAUACUUACAAAGAGUUGGAGCCUUAAUUUAUUAGGGUGACAGCGUGCCUAUUGAAGAAUGAGCCAACGAGUUUGUUCUAUGUGGCUU